CUGUGGCUGCGUGACCCGUCAGGAAUCUUAUCCCCGGGGCCUUACGCAUUCCUUAGGGAGCUGUCCCUGCUCUGGGCCGUGGUCCGUUGCAUACGGCGCCCACCUACAUUGUAGGUUCUCCGGGAUUGCACAUUCCAACGAUCACGCGGCUACACU
rnacentral:other from 1 species